UGGGGAAAGGGACACGUCGGCGAGGGUCGGCGGUCGAAAUCUAGGCGCGGUGGCUAUCGGAGGAGGCCUUCCACUCUCGGCCUCGCUCUUCCUCUCGGUCUCUCAAUCUCUCUCUCUCGGAAUCGCUUUGCCAGCUGCCAGCUGCCGGGGCGCUUGCCCUCGACCAGACAUCAUCGCGCGACGUUCCCUGCGGCUGUCCUGUUCCCCGUCGUAACAGUGUCCCCGUCGCGCUGCAGAGGGC
rnacentral:lncRNA from 1 species